ensembl:lncRNA
CUGGGUUCUACUUAGACUAAAACAGCUAUACAUCUCUCCUAGGAAAAUUGUGGCCCCAGUUUUACAGUGUUUGUCUGGAAGCAAAAUGUGUAAUGUUAUCACACCACUUUCCGUAGUUUGGUGCCUUCCUGUCUCUGCCACUCCAGCAGGAAAACAAGAAUGAUAUUUGCUACCAAGGCAGGGGGACAUACAGGCAGGGGGAAUUACUAAAUAAUGUAUUUUCUUUUUUGCAAGUAAGGUUGUUAAGAAAAAAUCUACCUACCCAUCUGUCUGCCUGUCUGUCCACCUACCUACCAUCCAUCUGUCCAUCCACACAUUCAUUUCAGUUGAUUUCUGCUGUUAGAAAGAACUAACUAGCAUAUCUUGUAGACAGUCUCCAGAUGACAUAGGCCUUGGUGGCAGGUGUGAGCAGGAUGAACUUGAGUGCCUCUAGAAGACUGAACUAGGACUGGACUGCUGUGCCAAGUCAGUUCUAGAAACACCAACCCUGGACUAGCUGGGAGUUUAAGGAGUGGCUCUGGCUUUGGCCGCUGCAAGGAGGUAAAUCUUAACUAUUCAUACUUGCACGGUCUUGUCACUCAGAUUCUAUUUUAUUGUUUUUUCUUUUUCUUUUUUUUCCAGCCACAUGCAUGGCAUAUGGAAGUUCCAGGGAUCAAAUCCAAGGUGCAGCAACACCAGGUCCUUAACCCCCUGUGUGCCAUGGCAGGAACUCCUACUCGAUUAGUUUUUAAAGUUUGAUUACACUAUAUCCUCUCUUUCGGUUCUAUUUCAUUUGAUGGUUAAUGAAUCCGACUAAGAACCAUGAGGUUGCGGGUUCGAUCCCUGGUCUUGCUCAGUGGGUUAAGGAUCUGGCGUUGCUGUGAACUAUGGUGUAGGUUGCAGACGCAGCUUGGAUCCCACAUUGCUGUGGCUCUGGAGUAGGCUUGGCAGCUACAGCUCUGAUUAGACCCCUAGCCUGGGAACCUCCAUGUGCCACGGGUGCAGCCCUCGAAAAGGCAAAAAGAUUUUUCUGUCUUCUCCACUUAACUGUAAGUUCUUUGAAUGCAGCGGCUGUUUUUUUCCUUUACUCUUAUCCUCAGCACCUAGGAGAAUUUCUGGAUCAUAGACUAUGCUAAGGAAAUAAUAUUUACUUUAAUGGUUUUUAAAUUCUAGAUGUUUAUGUUCGCUUAAUUUGAUUAAACUCUUUGGUUUUUUUUAAAUUUUAUGCUACAGCAUUAGGGGGUUGUGAAAUGUAUAGAGUGCCUUCUUUUUAUAAGCUAUUUUGUAGCUGUAUGUGUGCUGCUAUUCAUACUAGGAUUCUGAGAGAUUUUCACCCCCUUAAAGGUAUUUAACCUGCUAUUUCCAUAAAGUGAUCCUAUCUGAUGGUUUGCUUGUAAUUUUUAUUAUUAAAAAGUCAUGAAUUUGAUAUGAAUGGGUCACUUUUGGGGGCUUUUUUUUUGCCAUAAUGAGUCUUUUUUAAAUAACUUAAAAAUUGCAAAAGUAAUAACGUCCAUUAUAUAAAACUUGGAAAAUACAGAGAUAUAGGUAGAUAAAUCAUAUGCAGUGAUGUGCUGAUAAAUGCUUAACAACUGGCUCUCCCUGUAAUUGCAAUAUGAAUGUUGGUUGAGAUUUUUGUUUAUAUUAGUGAGAAAAAUGAAACAACCAAAGUAUAUGUCAGAAUUUACACCCAUGCUGUCAAUGACCUGAGUAUCGUCUUUGCUGAUUCAGAUAAUAAUUUUCAAAUACUGGAAGAAUAUUUCAUCAGGUUUUGUGUGUGUAGGGGGGUUGUUCCUAAGGUAAUCAGGGUUUUUUGUGUGUACCAACACAGGAUGUUUUUCUGUUGAAUCUACUGAUUAACAGUUUCUAUAUCAUUUUCUUAGUCUAUAAUCAGUAAAAUGAUAAAUUCAACCCUGGUUUGCCAAUUUUUGUGGUGUAAAUACUCCCACCACAGUGGUAUGGCCAACACAACACUACUGAUGAUAAACUGGAAAAAGGUGCACAGCAGCACAUCUUUAUGUAAUAUUUGCACCACUCAGAAAUGGUAGGCAUAAAUCAUCUCAAGAGCAUAAUAGUAAAAUGUAGCAAAAUAUUUAAGAAAUAAGUUUUGAGUAUAUCUUUGUUAUUAUAUGAUUUAUUUAAUUGUAAGUUUAUACAAUUUAUAUGUUUAUACAUAUUUUUUUUUUUUUGCUUUUUUAGGGCUGCACCCAUGGCAUAUGGAGAUUCCCAGGUUAAGGGUCUAAUCGGAGCUACAGCUGCUGCUGGCCUACACAGCCACAACAAACCACGUCUGCGGCCUACACCACAGCUCACAGGAAUGCUAGAUCCUUAACCCACAGAGCAAGGCCAAGGAUCAAACUGGCAACCUCAUAGUUCCUAGUAGGAUUCAUUUCUGCUGUGCCGCAACAGGAACUCGUUUAUGUAAUUUUUAAUAAUGGCUACGUUUAAAAAGUAGCCUGCAAAAUUCAUGAAAUAUUGUCAGUUUUCAUGAGCCAGUAUGAGCUGGCUCCGGUGCACUACUGGGUAGAUCUUUUCUCACUUGUCUUGUAAAAAUGUAAAAUAUAAAUAUAUAAAUUAAAUAUGCAUAUAUAAAAUGUGUGUAUAUGUGUGCAUAUAUAAUAUGUGAAUGUGUGUGUGUGUGUGUAUAUAUACACAUUUUUUUUGGCAAAGAUUUCCAGCGACUUUGUAAAACCUUGAUAUUAGCUGGUAUGUGCACUGCUGCACUCCUUAUGCAAUGGAGAAGUUGCAUAUUUCCAGGAAAAGUUUUCAUGCCUAACCAUUGUAGAAAUUUCUUUUCCAGUCCCCAGAAGAACUAAUCUGUGUUGUUAGAAUGAGCUCAGCUGUUUCUGUGUUCUCUUUUAUGUUCUUAGCCAAAGUUUCAGGCUUUAAUAGCUUUAAGAACUGCCAGCUUUUGAAGGACUUGGUUAAAUGAUUUUUUUAAAUAUAUUUGUUUUUAUUAGCAAGAUAAAGCUGUUUUAGGCCUUUAAUAUGUGAAGUUACAUUGAUUAGGUUUUUCCGUUUUGUAUAAAUUUGUUGCUUCAUUAUUAUUUUCUCCACCAUUGAUUAAGCCUAUUUUAGUCUGGCUUAGACAACACUGAGAGCUGGUGAAAAAACAAAAAUGUAGGAGUUCCCUCAUGGCUCUGCAGGUUAAGAAUCUGGCACUGUCACAGCUGUGGCACAGGUUUGAUCCCUGGCCUGGGAACUUCCACGUGCCAUGGUUGCAGCAAAAAAGAAAGAAAAGGAAAGAAGGAAAGAAAGAAGGAAG